UCCUUGCCUCAACAAUUCGUCUCUUGAUUUAUUGGCCUGCCGUGUGGUGAGAAGGAUGAGCUUGGACUCGGUAACCUUGCCUUAAUCCAGAUCUGGAGCAGAUGGGAGAGGACUGGAUCAAGGAUCUGAAACCGCACCUCAGAUGGGACUAGAACCCAGUCUUCCAACUGAAACCACACAACUCAUCUCAGGACUUAAUGAAACUCAGGUUCUUCAUGUCUCGGUGCAGAAGGAAUUCAGUGAGGGAAAAGUAAUAGAAGUGAUAGAUCCACUUUAAGAGGCUUUGGAUCUGUGCCAUUUAUCCUUGGACAUGUGGAAACCUGUAGUUAGAGGAGGCAAGAAAUUCUUCUGGACAGCUCAGAGAGGGCUUCCGAGAAGAAGGACAUUUUGAGCAUUUUUCACCAGAUGGACAAA